GACGAACGCUGGCGGCGUGCUUAACACAUGCAAGUCGAACGGUAAGGCCCUUCGGGGUACACGAGUGGCGAACGGGUGAGUAACACGCGGGUGAUCUGCCCUGCACUUCGGGAUAAGCCUGGGAAACUGGGUCUAAUACCGGAUAGGACCACUGCCUGCAUGGGUGGUGGUGGAAAGCUUUUGCGGUGUGGGAUGGGCCCGCGGCCUAUCAGCUUGUUGGUGGGGUGAUGGCCUACCAAGGCGACGACGGGUAGCCGGCCUGAGAGGGUGACCGGCAACACUGGGACUGAGAUACGGCCCAGGCUCCUACGGGAGGCAGCAGUGGGGAAUAUUGCACAAUGGGCGCAAGCCUGAUGCAGCGACGCCGCGUGAGGGAUGACGGCCUUCGGGUUGUAAACCUCUUUCAGCACCGACGAAGCGCAAGUGACGGUAGGUGCAGAAGAAGGACCGGCCAACUACGUGCCAGCCGCCGCCGUAA
rnacentral:rRNA from 1 species